GGUGCUUGCACCGAGAUUCAACAUGGAACGAGUGGCGGACGGGUGAGUAACACGUGGGUAACCUGCCCUUAAGUGGGGGAUAACAUUUGGAAACAGAUGCUAAUACCGCAUAGAUCCAAGAACCGCAUGGUUCUUGGCUGAAAGAUGGCGUAAGCUAUCGCUUUUGGAUGGACCCGCGGCGUAUUAGCUAGUUGGUGAGGUAAUGGCUCACCAAGGCGAUGAUACGUAGCCGAACUGAGAGGUUGAUCGGCCACAUUGGGACUGAGACACGGCCCAAACUCCUACGGGAGGCAGCAGUAGGGAAUCUUCCACAAUGGACGCAAGUCUGAUGGAGCAACGCCGCGUGAGUGAAGAAGGCUUUCGGGUCGUAAAACUCUGUUGUUGGAGAAGAAUGGUCGGCAGAGUAACUGUUGUCGGCGUGACGGUAUCCAACCAGAAAGCCACGGCUAACUACGUGCCAGCAGCCGCGGUAAUACGUAGGUGGCAAGCGUUAUCCGGAUUUAUUGGGCGUAAAGCGAGCGCAGGCGGUUUUUUAAGUCUGAUGUGAAAGCCCUCGGCUUAACCGAGGAAGCGCAUCGGAAACUGGGAAACUUGAGUGCAGAAGAGGACAGUGGAACUCCAUGUGUAGCGGUGAAAUGCGUAGAUAUAUGGAAGAACACCAGUGGCGAAGGCGGCUGUCUGGUCUGUAACUGACGCUGAGGCUCGAAAGCAUGGGUAGCGAACAGGAUUAGAUACCCUGGUAGUCCAUGCCGUAAACGAUGAAUGCUAGGUGUUUGGAAGGGUUUCCGCCCUUCAGUGCCGCAGCUAACGCAUUAAGCAUUCCGCCUGGGGGAGUACGACCGCAAGGUUGAAACUCAAAGGAAUUGACGGGGGCCCGCACAAGCGGUGGAGCAUGUGGGUUUAAUUCGAAGCAACGCGAAGAACCUUACCAGGUCUUGACAUCUUUUGAUCACCUGAGAGAUCAGGUUUCCCCUUCGGGGGCAAAAUGACAGGUGGUGGCAUGGUUGUCGUCAGCUCCUGUCCUGAAAAGUUUGGGUUAAUUCCCCCCACCAAGGGCACCCCUUAUUAAUAAUUUGCCACCAUUUAAUUUGGGCCUCCUA
rnacentral:rRNA from 2 species